rnacentral:rRNA from 1 species
GACGAACGCUGGCGGCGCGCUUCACACAUGCAAGUCGAGCGAUCGACUCCGGGUCUUCGGACCUGGAGCACGGAGCGGCGAACGGGUGAGUAACACGUGGGUAACCUGCCCUCGGCACUGGGAUAACUCCGGGAAACCGGGGCUAAUACCGGAUAUGACCUCUGCGGGCAUCCGCGGAGGUGGAAAGUUUUUCGGUGAAGGAUGGGCCCGCGGCCUAUCAGCUUGUUGGUGAGGUAGUGGCUCACCAAGGCGACGACGGGUAGCCGGCCUGAGAGGGCGACCGGCCACACUGGGACUGAGACACGGCCCAGACUCCUACGGGAGGCAGCAGUGGGGAAUAUUGCGCAAUGGGCGAAAGCCUGACGCAGCAACGCCGCGUGCGGGAUGACGGCCUUCGGGUUGUAAACCGCUUUCAGCAGGGAAGAAGCCGCAAGGUGACGGUACCUGCAGAAGAAGCACCGGCUAACUACGUGCCAGCCGCCGCAGUAAUAC